UGGGGAUUAUUGGACAAUGGGCGAAAGCCUGAUCCAGCCAUGCCGCGCGUGUGAAGAAGGUCUUCGGAUUGUAAAGCACUUUAAGUUGGGAGGAAGGGCAGUAAGCGAAUACCUUGCUGUUUUGACGUUACCGACAGAAUAAGCACCGGCUAACUCUGUGCCAGCAGCCGCGGUAAUACAGAGGGUGCAAGCGUUAAUCGGAAUUACUGGGCGUAAAGCGCGCGUAGGUGGUUCGUUAAGUUGAAUGUGAAAGCCCCGGGCUCAACCUGGGAACUGCAUCCAAAACUGGCGAGCUAGAGUAGGGCAGAGGGUGGUGGAAUUUCCUGUGUAGCGGUGAAAUGCGUAGAUAUAGGAAGGAACACCAGUGGCGGAGGCGACCACCUGGGCUCAUACUGACUCUGAGGUGCGAACGCGUGGGGAGCAAACAGG
rnacentral:rRNA from 1 species